AUUGAACGCUGGCGGCAGGCCUAACACAUGCAAGUCGAGCGGAUGAAGGGAGCUUGCUCCUGGAUUCAGCGGCGGACGGGUGAGUAAUGCCUAGGAAUCUGCCUGGUAGUGGGGGAUAACGUCCGGAAACGGGCGCUAAUACCGCAUACGUCCUGAGGGAGAAAGUGGGGGAGCUUCGGACCUCACGCUAUCAGAUGAGCCUAGGUCGGAUUAGCUAGUUGGUGGGGUAAAGGCCUACCAAGGCGACGAUCCGUAACUGGUCUGAGAGGAUGAUCAGUCACACUGGAACUGAGACACGGUCCAGACUCCUACGGGAGGCAGCAGUGGGGAAUAGUGGACAAUGGGCGAAAGCCUGAUCCAGCCAUGCCGCGUGUGUGAAGAAGGUCUUCGGAUUGUAAAGCACUUUAAGUUGGGAGGAAGGGCAGUAAGUUAAUACCUUGCUGUUUUGACGUUACCAACAGAAUAAGCACCGGCUAACUUCGUG
rnacentral:rRNA from 1 species